UAGUUGACACUAUGGCGACUCGGAAAUGUCUUGUUGCACCAUUCCGUUGAAAUGCUCGUGGCUGGAUGAUUAUUUGAUACCGUUAAGAACCACGCUCGACUAUGCAACAACUUUGCUCAAGAUUAAUUGUGAACAACUUUGUAUAUUUUUUGCACAUACAGCUAUGCUAACUAACUGCUACCUUUGACACUCGAGCUCAUAGCUAAAGCAAGUUUAAAGUCUUCAAUGUACAUAGCUUACAUGUUUUGGGAAGAAGUCCCCGGAGAAACCCGAUGCAGACACGCGGAGAACGUGCCAUGCAAACUACUCAUUCCGCUACUCUGAUAGAAGUCAAAGGUAAUGACCGACCUUGAGCCUUGGACCGGCUUGUCUGGCUGCAGAAGUGUGGCUUUCAGUCCCUCCACUCGGAUCCCCUCAACAUGCCUUCGUGCCUUCCGAACAAAAAAAGCUCCAGCUUUUUCCUUUCCACCUCCCGAGACUUUGGUGGCUCUCGUCUCACACCACAGAGGAACCGGUUCCGCGCAGCCGAAGCGCAUGCCAUCCCAGCAGCCCCCUUUUGCCAGCCCCUCAUUUUGCUGCACGCAACGGAUCAAAUGUGAAGAGUGGAUUGGCGCAAAGGCUGGAGGGAAAACAGAAAUGUAAGCCUGCUAGUUAAGAGGGACUCCCGAGUGGGCCAUGUGAGAGGAAUCAAGUGGCUGAAAACGCGGGACAAGCGCAUCACCAACAAGCAGCCCUCGCUCCGUUCGGGUCGGCAGGGUCACAUCUGUAAGAUGAAAGGAGGUGCCGCGGUCGGCUGCCUCCAUCCAAGGAUGGAAAGGUCAGGAAGUGGCCCCAGCACAAACACCAGGCUCAUUGUUCAAG